rnacentral:rRNA from 1 species
AAUUUUUGACAAUGGGGGAAACCCUGAUCCAGCCAUCCCGCGUGUAUGAUGAAGGCCUUCGGGUUNUCAAGUACUUUUGGCAGAGANGAAAAGGUAUCUCCUAAUACGAGAUACUGCUGACGGUAUAUGCAGAAUAAGCACCGGCUAACUACGUGCCAGCAGCCGCGGUAAUACGUAGGGUGCAAGCGUUAAUCGGAAUUACUGGGCUUAAAGCGUGUGUGGGCAGUGCGGAAAAAAAGAUAUGAAAGCCCAGGGCUCAACCUUGGAACUGCAUUUUGAACUGACGGGCUAGAGAAUGUCAGAGGGGGGUAGAAUUCAACGUGUAGCAGUGAAAUGCGUAGAUAUGUGGAGGAAUACCGAUGGCGAGGGCAGCCCCCUGGGAAAAUACUGACGCUCAGACACGAAAGCGUGGGGAGCAAACAGG